rnacentral:lncRNA from 1 species
ACAAACUAUAUAAUACAUGUCUAAAAAUUAACAUAUCUUAUACUUUUAUAUAUACAAUAAUAAAUUAUCUAAAAUGAAUAAGCAUAAAAAUAUUGAUAAAAAGAAAUCCAGUUUUGAAAUACGGGUCAGAAUUUAGCAUAAAUUAAAUACAAAAUAUUUUUUAAAUAUAUUUUCUCAUGAAUAUAUUAAUUUGCUUAAUAACUAAAUGCAAAUACAAUAAGAUAAAUAUAUAAUAAG